AGGAUAAUAGUUAAAUAUAACAUUUGAUCUGCAAUCAAAAUUUAUUAAUAUAAUUAUUAAUUUGUCUUA
rnacentral:tRNA from 1 species